UCCUACUAACAACUCCUUUCUAGUUUCUACCCUCUCCCCCUCCAUCCAUAUAGUGUCCAGCGGUCCAGGUGGAGGUAUGUGUACAGUCACCACCAUCGUUAUCACUCUGGGAGGACUGGGCUGGCAAAGGUUCAGAGGGUGUGCCCUCUUCUUCAUGUGAUCACCAGGGCGUGACCACAAGAUCUUAAGAAAGAGAGUGCAGUAUGCAGAUGACUUUACCAGGAGCUUAGAAGAAAAUUUGAUAUCUUCAAAUUUUAAAGCAGAUGAUCAUGAAAUCAAACAGGAUACAUAUGAAGAGCAUGCCAUUAUCUCAGAUAAAAUCUCGACCUUUCACAGCAAAGAUUCAUUAUCUUAUCCUUUGGAUCGGUUCCAAUGUUCGGAUUUAAACAGGCAAAAUGAAAAUCACAGAAGAAGUGUUCAACAUCAAAGAAACCACACAGGGGAGAAGCCAUAUUCAUGUUCAGAAUGUGGAAAAUGUUUUAUCCAUAAAUCAAAUUUUGUUAAACAUAAGAAAUUUCACACACGGGAGAAGCCACUUUCAUGUUCAGAGUGUGGAAAAAGUUUUAUCUAUAAAUCAGCUCUUGUUACACAUCAGAUAACUUACACAGGAGAGAAGCCAUAUUCAUGUUUAGAAUGUGAUAAACAUUUUAACCGUAAAGCAUAUCUUGUUAUGCAUGAGAGAAUUCACACAGGGGAGAAGCCAUUUUCAUGCCCAGAAUGUGAAAAAUGUGUAACAAGAGCUGAUUUAUUUAUAAGACAUCAGAGAAUGCACUCAGGGGAGAAGCCAUUUUCCUGCUCAGAAUGUGAUAAAUGUUUUAGCGAUAAAUCAGUUCUUUUAAGACAUCAGAGAAUUCACACAGGAGAAAAAACAUUUUCAUGUUCAGAAUGUGGAAAAUCUUUCUACGAGAAAUCAAGUCUUUUUACACAUUGGAGAACUCACACAGGGGAGAAGCCAUUUUCAUGUUUAGAAUGUGGGAAAUGCUUCAACCAAAAAUCGCAUCUAAUUACACAUCAAAGAACUCACACAAGGGAGAAGACAUUUUCAUGUUCAGAUUGCAGAGAGUGGGAUCAGCUGUGUCGUCGUGUAGAGGCUCGUAACUUAGUAGCCCAGACCUGAGGGCCACCCUUCAAGAAGAGUGGGAUGCCGUACCUCAACAGACAAUAAAUCUACUUGUGUACAGACAUCGUUCUCAAGCUGUAAUUGAUGCUCAAGGCACAUGACAAGUUAUUGAGAUAGUGAUAUUCUUUGUGGGGGUAUACCCACCACUGGUGUUGGCUUUUGUUUCAAUAAAUUGUUUGAGAUCAGGAAA